ACGCUGGCGGCGUGCCUAAUACAUGCAAGUAGAACGCUGAAGAGAGGAGCUUGCUCUUCUUGGAUGAGUUGCGAACGGGUGAGUAACGCGUAGGUAACCUGCCUUGUAGCGGGGGAUAACUAUUGGAAACGAUAGCUAAUACCGCAUAACAAUGGAUGACACAUGUUAUUUAUUUGAAAGGGGCAAUUGCUCCACUACAAGAUGGACCUGCGUUGUAUUAGCUAGUAGGUGAGGUAACGGCUCACCUAGGCGACGAUACAUAGCCGACCUGAGAGGGUGAUCGGCCACACUGGGACUGAGACACGGCCCAGACUCCUACGGGAGGCAGCAGUAGGGAAUCUUCGGCAAUGGGGGCAACCCUGACCGAGCAACGCCGCGUGAGUGAAGAAGGUUUUCGGAUCGUAAAGCUCUGUUGUAAGUCAAGAACGAGUGUGAGAGUGGAAAGUUCACAUUGUGACGGUAGCUUACCAGAAAGGGACGGCUAACUACGUGCCAGCAGCCGCGGUAAUACGUAGGUCCCGAGCGUUGUCCGGAUUUAUUGGGCGUAAAGCGAGCGCAGGCGGUUUGAUAAGUCUGAAGUUAAAGGCUGUGGCUCAACCAUAGUUCGCUUUGGAAACUGUCAAACUUGAGUGCAGAAGGGGAGAGUGGAAUUCCAUGUGUAGCGGUGAAAUGCGUAGAUAUAUGGAGGAACACCGGUGGCGAAAGCGGCUCUCUGGUCUGUAACUGACGCUGAGGCUCGAAAGCGUGGGGAGCGAACAGGAUUAGAUACCCUGGUAGUCCACGCCGUAAACGAUGAGUGCUAGGUGUUGGAUCCUUUCCGGGAUUCAGUGCCGCAGCUAACGCAUUAAGCACUCCGCCUGGGGAGUACGACCGCAAGGUUGAAACUCAAAGGAAUUGACGGGGGCCCGCACAAGCGGUGGAGCAU
rnacentral:rRNA from 1 species